UUUAGUUGUUAGCCCCCAAAGCGAAACUAUUAUUUCUUAGUCCCUUUUCGUAUGAAUACAAAUUACGAAAAGCUACGUUACAUGGAUUAGAUAAAAGUUGUACCACACUCAAUGAGUGACUGAACAGGGUAUAUAAAGUGUUAUAAAGAUGAACUCUUGCCGGGAGUAAUAAAGUUAUUGUACCGAACUACAUUGAUUUAGUCCGGUGAUGUUCGUGUUCUUUGGCAUCAAUGAACUUUAAAUAAGUGCUUAUCAUUUUAAUAUUUUGUAUUUUAGAUCACGUUAAAUAUUUUAAAGAGAAAUCAGCACAAAAGUUCCAUAUCACAGAGGAUUUCAGAGAAAAAUACAUUUAAAGGAUUCUAGUUUAGGAAAAUCACCAAAGUCACAAAGAUUGGUACUGGAAUUCGUUAGAAACCUAUACAUGUAUAGCUUAUUUUAAAGCAAGUUUUGUACCUUGAGACAUUGUUUGGUAUGUAGAUUUACAUCAAUCAAAAAUAUCUGAGACACUGUCUUGUUCUAAAUGUGUCUUUACACAUAUUAGUCUCCAUAUUCCUUUUAAUAUUCUCCUGUCAAUGUUUUACCUGUUUCUUGUGUCUGUUUUACAAUAAAUAUAGAGUCAUGGAUUGUUGACUGUGUGGACAAUUUGAGCUGAGCUCAGACUGAAAGUGAUAUCGUAAUAAUAAGCUGAACUUCUCCAUUUACAUACACAUGUAUGGACAGCUCAACACAAACCAAAUUCAACACUUUCAAGUGGUUACAAUAAAGGUUUUACUGUCUGUGUAAUCCACUCCGUUUUGGUGAAUCUGUUUGGUUUACUAGAGCAAAUCACUUUGCGACAUACGGAACAAGCCGACAGUUCAGCACAAACCAAUUUCAACAAUUGCAAUUUGCACUGUUUGGAUCGUGUUGCAAAAAAUGCCCGACGCAUCACUCUACCUGUCAAUAUCAUUGCGAAGAAAGUAUGCCAUCCCGUUGGUGUAUUUAUUAAAGCUCAAAACACAUUUCAGUAAUGUGACACAGCACUGUAGCAUUUUGGCCAUAUUUAACAUAAAAAUUACCUCCCUUGGAAUAACAACUAUGUACAUCUCAUUUAUACAACAUUCUUUAAGUCUUGUAUAUUUCAUUUAUGCAAAAUUGAUUAGGUCUUGUAUAUUUCAUUUAUACGAAAUUGAUAAGGUCUUGUAUAUCUCAUUUAUAAAAGAUUGAUUAGGUCCUUUAUAUCUCAUUUAUACAAAAUUGUUUAGGUCCUUUAUAUCUCAUUUAUACAAAAUUGAUUAGGUCUUGUAUAUCUCAUUUAUACAAAAAUGAUUAGGUCUUGUAUAUUUCAUUUAUACGAAAUUGAUUAGGUUUUGUAUAUCUAUUUAUACAAAAUAGAUUAGGUCUUGUAUAUUUCAUUAUACGAAAUUGAUUAGGUAUUGUAUAUCUAUUUAUACAAAAUUGAUUAGGUCUUGUAUAUUUCAUUUAUGCAAAAUUGAUUAGGUGUUGUACAUCUCAUUUAUACAAAAUUGAUUAGGUCUUGUAUAUCUCAUUUAUACAAAAUUGUUUAGGUCCUUUAUAUCUCAUUUAUACAAAAUUGAUUAGGUCUUGUAUAUCUCAUUUAUGCAAAAUUGAUUAGGUCUUGUAUAUCUCAUUUAUACAAUAUUGAUUAGGUCUUGUAUAUUUCAUUGAUGCAAAAUUGACUAGCUGUUGUACAUCUCAUUUAUACAAAAAUGAUUAGGUCUUGUAUAUCUCAUUUAUACAAUAUUGAUUAGGUCUUGUAUAUCUCAUUUAUACAAUAUUGAUUAGUUCUUGUAUAUUUCAUUGAUGCAAAAUUGAUUAGCUGUUGUACAUCUCAUUUAUACAAAAAUGAUUAUGUCUUGUAUAUCUCAUUUAUACAACAUUGUUUAGGUCUUGUAUAUCUCAUUCAUACAAAAUUGAUUAGGUCUUGUAUAUCUCAUUUAUACAAUAUUGUUUAGGUCUUGUAUAUCUCAUUUAUACAAUAUUGAUUAGGUCUUGUAUAUCUCAUUAUACAAAAUUGAUUAGGUCUUGUAUAUCUCAUUAUACAAAAU
rnacentral:lncRNA from 1 species